UUCACUCAGUCAACAAAUAUUGAGUCCUGCUAUAUGGAGAAAGUGGCAACUCCUCGAGUCAUGAUGCUGAUGUUCUGCUUCAAGUUUUCUGAGAUUCAGAGUGCACCGUUCAAAUAUGAAUAGCUGUUCUCGGCUGUUUCUUCUCACUUGUGAAGGUCUCCAACAUUGUGCUGCUCCCUUCACAUCAUCGGGGUCAAUUCUACUUUGAAGAGGCAGUUUUUAUCCAGUCCUAUUUUGAGGGCCUUCCACACUCAUGGAACUACCAAGAUCAGUCACCCUUCAGAUCUGGAACUGAGCUUACCUCCAUGUUAAAAUAAUCAACCAUUUAAGAUAAUAAAGGCAGCAUUUACCCAAGAACAAAGCACAGUGGGUUAGGAAACAAGGAGGGAUGGAAACAGGAAGCACCUGGAGGAAAGAGAUAAGCAAUGGUCCAUUGAGGGGGUUGCAAUGGAUGAGCUGAAACAAAAUGUAAAUGAACAGUUGAAUGUAAAACUGCUGAUCCACCCUGAAAACCUUCACCUACUUCCCAAUUAAAAGCUUUUUCAAACAGAAA